GGCCUCGUGGCAGAGUGGUUAUGCACCGGAUUGCAAAUCCGUUUACAGCGGUUCGAUUCCGCUCGAGGCCUCCA
rnacentral:tRNA from 4 species